AGCUUUGCACAGAGGCAAUGUCAUAGCCAAUGAAGUUCAACUGCAGCGUGACUAUUGCUAAUCGAAGACUUUUCCCAAUACCCUGUUGACUUGAAAUACCAUCGAUUGAGACAAUUUUUGGAAGUUUCUUCGGGAG